GCCAGUGUGGUAUAGUGGUUUGAGCAUUUAACUCUGACUCUGGAGUCCAGGGUUUGAUUCCCGGCUUAGCCA